AUUGAACGCUGGCGGCAGGCCUAACACAUGCAAGUCGAACGAGUGGCGGACGGGUGAGUAAUGUCUGGGAAACUGCCUGAUGGAGGGGGAUAACUACUGGAAACGGUAGCUAAUACCGCAUACCAUCGGAUGUGCCCAGAUGGGAUUAGCUAGUAGGUGGGGUAAAGGCUCACCUAGGCGACGAUCCCUAGCUGGUCUGAGAGGAUGACAAGCGACACUGGGAAGGAGACACGGGGCAGACUCCUACGGGAGGAAGCAGUGGGGAAUAUUGCACAAUGGGAGCAAGCCUGAUGCAGCAAUGCGGCGUGUAUGAAGAAGGCCUUCGGGUUGUAAAGUACUUUCAGCGGGGAGGCGUUACCCGCAGAAUAAGCACCGGCUAACUCCGUGCCAGCAGCCGCGGUAAUUC
rnacentral:rRNA from 1 species